rnacentral:rRNA from 1 species
GUUGCAAGAUUAAAACUCAAAGGAAUUGGCGGGGACCCGCACCAAGCGUGGAUGAUGUGGAUUAAUUUCGAUGCAACGCGAAAAACCUUACCUACCCUUGACAUGUCUGGAAUCCCGAAGAGAUUUGGGAGUGCUCGCAAGAGAACCGGAACACAGGUGCUGCAUGGCUGUCGUCAGCUCGUGUCGUGAGAUGUUGGGUUAAGUCCCGCAACGAGCGCAACCCUUGUCAUUAGUUGCUACGAAAGGGCACUCUAAUGAGACUGCCGGUGACAAACCGGAGGAAGGUGGGGAUGACGUCAAGUCCUCAUGGCCCUUAUGGGUAGGGCUUCACACGUCAUACAAUGGUCGGGACAGAGGGUCGCCAACCCGCGAGGGGGAGCCAAUCCCAGAAACCCGAUCGUAGUCCGGAUCGCAGUCUGCAACUUGACUGCGUGAAGUCGGAAUCGCUAGUAAUCGCGGAUCAGCAUGUCGCGGUGAAUACGUUCCCGGGUCUUGUACACACCGCCCGUCACACCAUGGGAGUGGGUUUUUCCAGAAGUAGUUAGCCUAACCUCAAGGGGGGCGAGGAUCACCUAUCAUU